GUUUGGGAUUGAUUUUGGAGGUGCUUUUGAACCUGCUUCUGCUUUUGGGCUUUAGCUAUGGUGUUUGGUAAAAUGUCUAGAAGUGGCUUUUGGUCCAAAUUGAUUCUCCUAGAAGCUGAAACUGAGAAGCACCCAAGUACCAGCUUUGGGAAGCUGAUUCUGUGAAAACACGGAGUGAACAGGGAUUCAUUAAAUGAAAUUUACAAAGAUUUCCUAUUAUGUCCUCAUCUUUUCUUUGAGUUUACCUUGACCCAGAUAGGGGUUUGUUAUGCUCAGCUUCUCUCUUCUCAGCCUCCUCUGCCGUCAAAACUCAAAACACCUCAGCUCAUCGAUCGAUCUCUUCUGUGUCUUCAAAACCCGAUUCCGUCGCUCCUCCGCCACACGCCCCAAACCCAAAGCAUUCCCAGACCCCAGCUUCUUCAACCUCCUUUCGUCCUUGGUAAGCUCCUCAUCAGAACCACUCUCCAGAUCUUCCUUGUUAUUCCUCCUCCCAGCAUAUAUCAUCCCAUUCGAAGUUCCUAUAACCUAGUCAUACAAUCCGGCGAAAACCCCACUGACAUGAGCGGUGCAGGGAACCGAGUAACCAUCAAUUUCGCGUAAUCACAUCUUCGCAAGCCUACCAAGAACCACUCUAUCACCGCCUCUCUCUCUCUCUCUCUCAAACCCAGCAGGAAAAUGAGCCGAAAGUUUCUGUCUUCAGCGAAUCAAACUCACUUUUGUCUGCAUUGGCUCUAGUGAAGAGAUGGAGGAUAAUGAACAUGAUGGAGAUGGUCCGGAAAGACAAGAAAUGGAGGUGUUAAGAAAUGCAAUUGCAUAAAGUCUAAUGAAUGCAUCUACUUAGCAUUUAGUUGCAAAUUUCAAGUGACUUUAAUUUAUUUUGUGUAAUGGUUCCCGUUGAACUAUGGUCGUGAAAUUAAUCCAAAUAUUCUUGACUUA